rnacentral:rRNA from 1 species
AGGCUAGCCAUGGUAAGUCAACGUGCGCCCUCGCGCACGUGGCGUACGGCUCAGUAACGCGUGGCUAACCUACCCUCACGACGGGGAUAACCUCGGGAAACUGAGGAUAACCCCCGAUAAGUGAAUGGUUUUGGAAGAACCUUUCACCGAAAUGGAUAGAGCAAAUGGACUUCAUCCGCAUGAGGAUGGGGCUGCGUCCCAUCAGGCAGUUGGUGGGGUAAUGGCCCACCAAACCUAUAACGGGUACGGGCCGUGAGAGCGGGAGCCCGGAGAUGGGCACUGAGACAAGGGCCCAGGCUCUACGGAGCGCACCAAGCGCGAAACCUUCGCAAUGCGGGAAACCGUGACGGGGCCAUCCCGAGUGCAGGCUGCUGAGGCUUGCUUUUACCCAGUGUAAGAGGCUGGGUGAAUAAGUGGGGGGCAAGACUGGUGACAGCCGCCGCGGUAAUACCAGCUCCACGAGUGGUCAGGACGGUUAUUGGGCCUAAAGCGUCCGUAGCCGGCCCAGUAAGUUUAUGGUGAAAUCCGGCAUCUCAAGUGUCGGAGUGCUGUAAAUACUGCUGGGCUAGGGAGCGGGAGAGGCCGGGG